CCUACGGGGGGCAGCAGUGAGGAAUAUUGGUCAAUGGACGAGAGUCUGAACCAGCCAAGUAGCGUGAAGGAUGACUGCCCUAUGGGUUGUAAACUUCUUUUAUAUGGGAAUAAUAUGUGCCACGUGUGGGAUUUUGUAUGUACCUUAUGAAUAAGGAUCGGCUAACUCCGUGCCAGCAGCCGCGGUAAUACGGAGGAUACGAGCGUUAUCCGGAUUUAUUGGGGUUAAAGGGAGCGUAGGUGGGUUUUUAAGUCAGUUGUGAAAGUUUGCGGUUUAACCGUGAAUUUGCAGUUGAAACUGGCAGUCUUGAGUACAGUAGAGGUGGGCGGAAUUCGUGGUGUAGCGGUGAAAUGCUUAGAUAUAACGAAGAACUCCGAUUGCGAAGGCAGCUCACUGGACUGCAACUGACACUGAGGCUCGAAAGUGUGGGUAUCAAACAGGAUUAGAUACCCCUGUAGUC
rnacentral:rRNA from 1 species